rnacentral:rRNA from 1 species
CAAUAGCGUAUAUUAAAGUUGUUGCAGUUAAAAAGCUCGUAGUUGGAUUUCUGGUUGAAGCGACCGGUCGGGCGUUGAUUCGUCUGCACUGGAGUCGGUUUUGGCCAUCCUCUAGGAAAGUGCGUCUGGUAUUAAGUUAUCGGGCGUAUGAUCCUGGUCUUUUACUGUGAAAAAAUUAGAGUGUUUAAAGCAGGCCUUCGCCUUGAAUACAUUAGCAUGGAAUAAUAAGAUAGGACUUUGGUCUAUUUUGUUGGUUUGCAGACCGAAGUAAUGAUUAAUAGGGAUAGUUGGGGGUAUUUAUAUUCCGAUGUCAGAGGUGAAAUUCUUAGAUUUUCGGAAGAUAAACUUAUGCGAAAGUAUUUACCAAGGAUGUUUUCAUUAA